rnacentral:rRNA from 1 species
UACGGGGGGAGCAAGCGUUGUUCGGAUUUACUGGGCGUAAAGGGCGCGUAGGCGGUCAGCACAAGUCAGUUGUGAAAUCUCCGGGCUUAACUCGGAAAGGUCAACUGAUACUGUGCGACUAGAGUGCAGAAGGGGCAACUGGAAUUCUCGGUGUAGCGGUGAAAUGCGUAGAUAUCGAGAGGAACACCUGCGGCGAAGGCGGGUUGCUGGGCUGACACUGACGCUGAUGCGCGAAAGCCAGGGGAGCGAAACGGG